GCAGAUAAAUUGCACUCGCACACGCACGCGUGCAUGCACACACACACACUCACUCUCUCUCUCUCUCUCUCUCUCUCUUUCCCGGCCCCGCCCUCAAGUCCCAGAGGGGACAAGUUAGCAGGAGAGGAGAUGCCCACUUAACCAAAGGGUGAACAAAAGAAAGGGCUCUCUCCUCUCACCACCCACAGAUAGCUCUCAAGGGCUGCAGAGGAAGAGAUUAGCCUACUCUCCUCACUUAUUAGCCAGAAAGUAUACAAGGACAUAAAGUGAUUUCCCUGGAGUCCAUGGCGAGUCACUGGAAGAACCAGGUUCAGAAAGUUCCUAGUCCAGCUGUGUGAGGUUAAUUCCAGGUGAAACUGAAGAGAAAAUGGCCCAGAGAAAAGAUCACAGGAGACUUGCCUGCAGGGUCCUGCUCCUAACAUCCUGUGACCCAGCGAGAGCCAACCACAAAGCAAGUGGCUAAGGGAGGCGGUGACUUUCCAAGAAGCCUCUCCAGGGAGACCUGGUUUCUGGUGGGCAGCCCAUGGUGGCCAUUGAAGGUCGGGGCUGGGCAGAAGUUGGCACAGGAGGCUCCAAAGGAAAUGUCUCCCCUAUUGGAGAAGUAACUCCUUGGGAUUCCAGCUCAACAAAGGGGGCAUCUGAGCUGCUCUGAUCUUUCCCGUGAAGCCCAGGCACACACACACCAAGAGAACAAAGUUGGAGGGAAGGCACGUGCUCUGGUACCCAAAAGGGAAGUAGACCAUUCUUCCGGACCCACCUGGCUGCUGGGGACUUGUUUGUUCAUUCAGCAGAUACUUAAAGGGCUAGUACUGGGCAUGGGGACAAUGCGGGACAGGACACACCCAUCCUGUCCUCACAGAGCUUCUGGUCUAGUGGCAAAUACAAAGGGAAAUUACAGGGAGCCAGGAGAGAGAACAAAGGACGCAAAGAGAAUGAGGAGGAAGCAAGACUGACCUGAUAAACAUAGAACAAAUGGGCCCAUGAAGCAGGCGGGGGUGGUGAGGGUGUCAGAGACGAAGGCACAGAAGGCUGAGGGUGACCACAGAGGGCUGUGAAGGGAUUAGGAUUUAUUAUGAAUCUGAUGGCAGGGUUUGUAAAUCAUGAGCUGAUUUACAUUUUAAAAUGGGCUCUUGGAGGAAUUAAAAAAAAAUCUAUUUCAGCACCCCCCUCUGGUAACCAGUUUAUUCUCUAUAGUUAAGAGUCUGUUUCUUGGUUUGUCUCUCUCUUUUUUUUCCAUUUGCUCAUUUGUUUUGUUUCCUAAAUUCCACUUAUGAGUGAGAUCAUAUGGCAUUUGUCUUUCUCUCACUGAAUUAUUUCACUUUUAUCCAUUCAUCUAUUGAUGGACAUGGGCUGCUUUCAUAAUUUGGCUAUUGUAAAUAAUGCUGCAAUAAACAAAGGGGUGCAUGUAUCCCUUUGAA